rnacentral:tRNA from 1 species
UAGAGUAUAUCUUAGUGGUAAAGUGUGUGCUUAGCAUGCAUGAGAACAUGGGUUCGAUCCCUACUGCCUAA